UUGCAGGAAUGUAAGGGUGUAUGGUGGAUGCCUUGGCUUUACAAAGCGAUGAAGGACGCGAAAUGUCUGCGAUAAGCUUCGGGGAGGUGGCAAUUAACCUUCGAUCCGGAGAUUUCCGAAUGGGGAAACCCCAUCAGUUACGCUGAUGAUCCUUGUAUGAGGAUGCGCACCUAGGGAAGUGAAACAUCUCAGUACCUAGAGGAAUAGAAAGCAAUAUAUAGAACUUUCUUUCUGAUUAUUGCAACCGCAAGGUUGCGCCAUUGUAAUCAGGAAGAAGGUUCUUGCGAUUCCCUGAAUAGCGGCGAGCGAAACGGGAAUAGCCCAAACCUUACGUAGCAAUACAUAAGGGGUUGUAGGGCAAGAUCAGCAUUUAGUUGCGCAGAGUUAUAAAAUAUAUGUAUAGAAGAACGAGCUGGGAAGCUCGACCCUAGAGGGUAAUAGUCCCGUAUUUGAAAUGCAUAUGUCUCUGUUGGUCUUGUUCCUGAGUAGUCCGAGACAUGAAUAGCUCGGAUGAAUCCGCCAGUACUAACUGGUAAGGCUAAAUAUUUGUAAAGACCGAUAGUGAACAAGUACCGUGAGGGAAAGGUGAAAAGAACCCCGGAGAGGGGAGUGAAAUAGAUCUGAAACCAUACACUUACAAGGAGUCGCGGCCUUUAGGGGUUGCGGCGUGCCUAUUGAAGAAUGAGCCGGCGAGUGUAUAUCUAUGCUUUGUCUAAGUGGUAAACCCACGGAGGCACAGUGAAAGCGAGCGUGAAUAGCGCGAAUAUAGCGUAGGUAUACGACCCGAAGCGGGAUGAGCUUGCCAUGAGCAGGGUGAAGCGAAGGUAAAACUUCGUGGAGGCCCGAACCGGUUGACCGUACAAAAUCAUCGGAUGACUUGUGGUAAGGAGUGAAAAGCUUAUCGAAUUCCGUAAUAGCUGGUUCUCUCCGAAACAGCUUUAGGGUUGGCGUCGUGUGUUUCCACUGGGGGUAGAGCACUGGAAGAGACAAACAGGGAGAAAUCUCGUUGUCUCUAUCAAACUCCGAAUACCAUGUGGCCACAGCACGGCAGUUAGACUAUGGGGGAGAAGCUCCAUUGGUCGAAAGGGAAACAGCCCAGAUCGCCAGUUAAGGUCCCAAAAUAUAUGCUCAG
rnacentral:ncRNA from 1 species